rnacentral:rRNA from 1 species
CAGCCGCCGCGGUAAUACGUAGGGGGCAAGCGUUAUCCGGAAUUACUGGGUGUAAAGGGAGCGUAGACGGUUAAACAAGUCUGAAGUGAAAUGCCGGGGCUCAACCCCGGAGCUGCUUUGGGAACUGUAGAACUGGAGUGUCGGAGGGGUAAGCGGAAUUCCCAGUGUAGCGGUGAAAUGCGCAGAUAUUGGGAGGAACACCGGCGGCGAAGGCGGCUUACUGGACGACAACUGACGUUGAGGCUCGAAGGCGUGGGUAGCAAACAGGAUUAGAGACCCCCGUAGUCCCUGUCUCUUAUAC